AAGAAGAAGAAGAAGAAGAAGAAGAAGAAGAAGAAGAAGAAGAAGAAGAAGAAGAAGAAGAAGAAGAAGAAGAAGAUACUGAAAUGGAUGAGGCUACGACAUCCCAGCAACCCAGAAGAUCCAAAAGACAGAGGAAGAGAACAUGAAUGAUCUUGAAAAAUGGAGUGGCUAUUUUGGUGAAAAAUAGUAUAAAUUUACAAGUAGAGGAGACAUUAAAAGAUCAAAAUGGGAGAUGGAUUUUGGUUAAGGGAAGGUUUAAUGACGCACAAAUAACAUUGAUGAAUAUAUAUGCUCCUAACAGAAGACAGAAAAGUUUUUUACAGAAACAGUUUAAAAGAAUACAAAAGAAAUAUAAAGGUGAUACACUGAUAAUAGGAGACUAUAAUUUAGAUUUGAGAAACUAUGAGGGGUUCAAGAAAUGGAAUAUAGUAAAUAUGUAUGAUGAGCUAAAUAUGCCACAACAGCCAACCUUUUACUCGAGUAGACGUAAAAAAUUUACAUAUAUAGAUUACAUUUUUACAAAAAAAUUGGAAACAUUACAAAGUUUAGAGAUCCAAACACAUAAAGAGUGGAUUUCUGACCAUGCUCCUUUGGUAGCUAAGUUCAGACUGGCAAAAGAAGAGAAACAAUUCAGAUGGAGAUAUGAUAAUAUCAUAAUGAAGAAUGGUAAAGAAAAGAAGGGGUUACAAGAAAAAAUGAAAUACUAUUUUUUAGAGAAUAGGGGAACAGUGAUGAUGAAAUUUUAUGGGAUGCAUCCAAAGCAGUAAUAAGAGGAUAUUGUAUAGAUAUUCAAAACAGGCAAAAAAAUGUAAUGAAUAAGGAACGACAGGAACUGUUGGAGAAAAUUAAAGUGAUUAGAGACAAACUACAGACCCGGUUUGAUAUUAGGGAUAAGAAUAAAUUGAAAGGUAUUGAAAGAUCAAUUAGAUGACCUAGACCAGUUAGAAAUGUGGAAAAAGGAUAUCUGGGUAAAAAAUCAAUUUCAAAGAACCAAUAUAAAGUCAAUGAAACAACUUGCAAGCAAUUUUUAAAAAAGAAGGAAAAACAAAGCAUCAAAGUAAUAAGAGAUGAAAACAAUGUAAAAAUAACAUUGUAAUAAGAGAAUUAGACAGAAAUUUGAAGAAUUUUAUCAAACACUUUUUGGAAAG